AUGCGGGGGUUGUUCUGGUCGAGAGCCUAGACUUCAAGUAGCAUGAUUUCAUAAACCAUUUUUCACUUCAACUUGUUCACCAAGCCACAGAUUUCUCACCUAGGGUUCGAACAAAUCCCCAAAUUUCGUUUCUCUAGCACUAACAAUUGAAUCGGAAAUGCGACAUUGCUUCAACACGUUAGCGGCUUCGGUAAACCGUUGAGCAUUCUCUGGAAAUCUCUUACCGAUAUCUGAUCGAGU
rnacentral:lncRNA from 1 species